UUAAACAAUUUGGACAUGGCAUUUUUAAUUGACCACCAUGUUGGGUCACGCCUUAUGAGACAUUUUGACCUUGCAACCAACCUCAAUGCAAUGUCUACGAGUCUGUCUUCAAAAGCACCUCACAAUCAAAUUCACGAGCCACAAAAUUAGAAGAACAAUUUCUCUUAAAGGAGAAUAGCUUAGGAAGGAAAGGAAGCAACUUCAGUUUCAGAAAGUCUCCGGCUUUUAGGCUCCUUCGCAUGUAUGAACACUAAUAAAUAUCUAAUUUAACCUAUAAUAAAGUAAUGUAAAUUAUUAAAAAGACAUAAUAUAGCAAGGUAAAAAUG